rnacentral:rRNA from 1 species
ACCGCAUACGCUCUACGGAGAAAGAGGGGGCUUCGGCUCUCGCUAUUGGAUGGGCCUGCGUGAGAUUAGCUAGUUGGUGAGGUAAUGGCUCACCAAGGCGACGAUCUCUAGCUGGUCUGAGAGGAUGAUCAGCCACACUGGGACUGAGACACGGCCCAGACUCCUACGGGAGGCAGCAGUGGGGAAUAUUGCACAAUGGGCGCAAGCCUGAUGCAGCCAUGCCGCGUGUGUGAAGAAGGCUUUCGGGUUGUAAAGCACUUUCAGUGGGGAGGAAGGCCUCGUAGUUAAUAGCUGCGAGGAUUGACGUUACCCACAGAAGAAGCACCGGCUAACUCCGUG